rnacentral:lncRNA from 1 species
AUUGCCCUUUCCCCCCAAUCCUGGGUCUGUGCCCUUAUCCACCCAGCAUCUUUGGUCCAGCCCUCUUCUCUCCUGAACUUCAGCUUGGUGUGCCCUCAGACCCCUGACCCCCAUGCAUCCUCCCUGCCAGAAAAUGUGUGGCAAGAUGCUUCUAGGAACCCCUCCCUGAUUCCUGACCUUCUCUGCGUCUCCCUGUACCUCCUUCCUCCAGUACUGGGUGUUGAACCUAGGAGUGUUUUACCACUGAGCUACAUCCCCAGUCUUUUAAAUUUAUUGCUUUGAGACAGGUCUUUCUAAGCUGCUGAAGCUGGCCUCAAAUUCACAAUCCUCCCGCUUCAAACUUGAGUCACUGAUAUUACAAGUGUGAGCCGUUAUGUCUGGCCCCUCUUGUCUGUUAUCUUUGUCCUCAAGCAGCUGGCCUGCCCACACUGUCCCUUCUGCUCCCUAUGUAUACCCAGACCCAUCAGGAUCACCAACCUGUGCUCAACAGCUUUGGGAGUUCCCCUGUGCCUGAGAAGGCCAUAUCCUGUGUGACCCAAAGAGGGAGUUCUCUCCUGCUCCCAUUUUCAGCCCUAUUUCCUGGCACAGCCUCCAUGCACCCCAGGGUGCAGCUGCUUCUGGCAGCUAGAAUCUGCAUUUCUCUCUUCACCUCCAGCAGAGAGAAGACAGUGCUGGACAAGGGUUUAUUUAAAUAGCAACCUCCAUCCAUCUGCCUCCACAUCCUCUAGCUUUAGAUGUGGGCAAGAGAAACAGGAUCUCAUGUCUUC